UACGUAGGGGGGCAAGCGUUGUCCGGAUUUAUUGGGCGUAAAGCGCUCGCAGGUGGCCUGCUGCGUCGUGCGUGAAAAGACCCCGGCUCAAACUGGGGGGAGGUCGUGCGAUACGGGGCGGGCUGGAGGCCAGUAGGGGGGAUGUGGAAAUUCCGGGGUGUAGUGGUGGAAAUGCGUAGAGAUCCCGGAGGAACACCAGCGGCGAAGGCGGCAUCCUGGACUGGUCCUGACACUCAGGAGCGAAAAGCGUGGGGGAGCGAUCCGG
rnacentral:rRNA from 1 species